rnacentral:rRNA from 1 species
UGGGGAAUAUUGCACAAUGGGCGAAAGCCUGAUGCAGCAACGCCGCGUGAGUGAUGAAGGUCUUCGGAUUGUAAAGCUCUGUCUUUUGGGACGAUAAUGACGGUACCAAAGGAGGAAGCCACGGCUAACUACGUGCCAGCAGCCGCGGUAAUACGUAGGUGGCGAGCGUUGUCCGGAUUUACUGGGCGUAAAGGGUGCGUAGGCGGAUGUUUAAGUGAGAUGUGAAAUACCCGGGCUUAACUUGGGUGCUGCAUUUCAAACUGGAUAUCUAGAGUGCAGGAGAGGAGAAUGGAAUUCCUAGUGUAGCGGUGAAAUGCGUAGAGAUUAGGAAGAACACCAGUGGCGAAGGCGACUCUCUGGACUGUAACUGACGCUGAGGCACGAAAGCGUGGGUAGCAAACAGGAUUAGAUACCCUGGUAGUCCACGCCGUAAACGAUGAGUACUAGGUGUAGGAGGUAUCGACCCCUUCUGUGCCGCAGUAAACACAUUAAAGUACUCCGCC